rnacentral:tRNA from 1 species
GCGCCUGUGGUGCAGCGGUGGCGCAGUCGACUUCUGAUCGGAAGAUUGCAGGUUUGAUUCCUGCCUCGCCUG